UGAGAUACGGAGCUUCAUUGGGUUGGCCGGCUACUACCGACGGUUCGUCGAGGGAUUUGCAAAGUUAUCUACUCCCCUCACGAGACUCACGCAUAAGGGCACCAAGUUCAUUUGGAAUGAUGCGUGUGAAAGGAGCUUCCAAGAGUUGAAGCAGCGAUUGACGACCGCCCCGAUCCUAACCUUGCCAACUGCUGGAGCAGGGUAUGUGAUUUAUAGUGAUGCUUCCUUUAAUGGAUUGGGCUGUGUCUUAAUGCAGGACGGAAAAGUGAUCGCGUAUGCAUCUCGCCAAUUGAAGGAUUAUGAAAGGAAUUACCCUACUCACGACUUGGAGUUGGCGGCCGUGGUCUUUGCAUUGAAGCUAUGGCGCCACUACUUAUAUGGCAAGCGAUGCGAAGUAUAUACGGAUCACAAAAGCUUAAAGUAUCUAUUCACUCAGAAGGAGUUGAACUUGAGACAGCGCAGAUGGUUGGAGCUACUCAAGGAUUAUGAUUUGACGAUACUUUACCACCCGGGCAAGGCUAAACGUGGUGGCUGAUGCGCUAAGUAGGAAAUAGACGGAAAACUUAGCGAUGCUUGUGGUUACUCAACCGCCGUUGAUCGAGCAAAUGAAGCGGUUGGAGUUGGAGGUGGUGACUCCUAAUACACCUUUGAGACUGAUGACUUUGGUGGUGCAACCUAUACUUUUGGAAAGGAUUAAGGAAAAGCAAGCUUCCGACUCGGAGUUGCAAAAGAUUCAAGCUAAGAUGGUUGAUGGUUGCACCGGUGACUUCACUUUAGACGGUGAAGGAUUGAUGCGUUUCCGCGGAUGGCUUUGUGUACCGGCGAACUUGAGCAUUAAAGAGGAUAUUCUUCAAGAAGCACACCGAGCACCGUAUGCUAUACAUCCAGGAGGCACCAAGAUGUACAAGGACUUGAAGUCGCUUUAUUGGUGGCCCGGGAUGAAAAAGAAUGUUGGUGAGUUUGUUGCUAGAUGUUUGACUUGCCAACAGGUGAAGGCUGAGCACCAAGUUCCUGCGGGAAAGUUGCAGAGCCUACUGAUUUCGGUGUGAAAAUGUGAAAAGAUCACCAUGGACUUUGUGACUGGAUUGCCUCGCUCACAGGCUGGGCAUGAUGCUAUUUGGGUGAUCGUGGAUAGAUUGACAAAAUCAGCACAUUUCAUACCUAUCCACACUACUUGGACUUGGGAGAGACUCGCACAGGUUUAUUUGGAUGAGAUAGUGCGAUUGCAUGGGGUACCCACUUCUAUAGUGUCAGAUCGAGAUCCCCGUUUUGUAUCCUAUUUUUGGAGGAGCUUACAGGACGCUCUGGAUACGCGCUUGGACUUCAGUACUGCUUUCCACCCCCAGAGUGACGGGCAGUCGGAGCGUACGAUACAGACUCUCGAGGAUAUGCUUCGAGCCUGCGUGAUUGACUUCCAGGGAGGAUGGUCGCAGCAUCUACCGAUGGCAGAGUUUGCUUAUAACAACAGUUAUCACGCAAGCAUCAAGAUGGCACCGUUCGAGGCACUCUGUGGACGGAAGUGUAGAGCGCCACUUCAUUGGAGUGAAGUUGGCGAGAGAUUGGCUUUAGGCCCUGAUGUGCUUCAGGAAGCAGAGGACAGGGUUCGCAUUGCUCGGGAGCGAUUGUUGACGGCCUAGAGUAGGCAGAGGAGUUGUGCUGAUCGGCGUCAACGAGACUUGGAGUUUCAGAUUGGAGAUCGCGUCUUCUUGAAAGUCUCGCCGACUCGAGGGAUUAGACGAUUUGGAAUCCGGGGCAAGUUGAGCCCCCGAUUCAUUAGACCGUUUGAGGUUUUGGAGUGUGUAGUAGGCCCGGUAGCGUAUCGACUCGCUCUACCGCCAAACUUAUCGGGUGUACACAAUGUGUUCCAUGUAUCGGUCAUUCGGAAGUACAUCCACGACCCGGCUCACGUAUUGGAUGCUACGCCUUUGGAGCUGCGGGAUGACUUGAGCUUUGAGGAGCAACCAUUGAGGAUUUUGGCUCGCGAGGUGAAAAGACUGCGGAACCGUGAGAUUCCCUACGUGAAGGUGCUUUGGAGCAACGAUGACGAGCGCGAGGCCACUUGGGAGCUGGAGAGCGCACUGCGGGAGCGCUACCCCCAUCUUUUUCAGAUGGAGACUUGAGGUACUUGUCAUUUCGAGUUUCGCGGAUGAAACUCCUUUUUAGGAGAGGUGAAUGUAACACACUGGACCUUUGCAAAUUGCGAGGUUCGAGUGAUUGGCUGUGUUCUGAGCUUUUUCAGAUUUUCUGGCGGGUCGUUGACUGUGUUCCGACCUACGGCACGUAGCCCGAGAAUCGAGGUUUAAAGCUGGGCACCAAAACCCGAAAAAUCGAAUUUUGGUUAGCCCUCGGGUAGCUUUCAGCAGGCCUUGUACCGGUACAAGGUUGAUUGUUGUACCGGUACAAGGUUGAUGGUUGUACCGGUACAGGGGCCUUGUACCGGUACAGAGCCGCUGAACCCGCCAACCCGAGCCUCGGGUUUGGAUUUCGUGGGCCUUGUACCGGUACAAGGCGGCAGAUUUUGAGCAGUUCGAAACUGCAGGGAUUUUUUCGCGAUUGUAACCUCUCUAUAAUAGCACCCUCGCCCCCUUAGGGUUUUUUUUUGUGCUGGAACCACAGGGAAACAAGGUGAGGAGCCAUCUAUUCCCUCCUUUUGAUUUUUCCUUGGUUGUAUUGGAGAUUUUUGAGGAUUAAUGCCUCAUUUUGCUUCUUGUUGCAUCUUGGAGGCUUUUUUCACCAUUGGAGAGGACUUGGAACUUUGAUAGAGGCUUGUUGGAGGAAAGAUCUUCCACCCCAUUUGAUUUGGAGCCCAAGUUGAGACUUCUAGAGAGAUUAGCAACAUGAUUUGAGCUUUUGUUCCAUGUUUUGCUAAGUUUUUUAGAUGGAACCCUAGAUUUGAUACUUAGGGUUUGAUUUUGGGCAUUUUAAAUCUAGGGCUUUUGGAGCUAGAUUGUUUGGAUUAGAACCUUCCUUGGGCUUGGAUUGGAAGGGAUUUAGCUCUCUUUUGGAGUUUGAAAGAGAUUUCCUACACAUUAGGUGAGUUUUAGCCCUUUUACUAAGUUUGUUAAAGUUUGAUCUUAUAGUUGAUCGUAAUGCCCGUGUAUCUCUUCGCUCGAUACUUUUAGGGUAAUUUGAGACUGGUGGACAACUUCGUUCGGCGAAUCGAGGGAGCACGGGACGGUUCGGUGGGUCUGACUUAGCCUAUGAUAUGAGAAAUCCUCAUAUUUGGCGAAAUGUGUUUCAUAAAGUAGAAAUUCAUGCAUUUCCAUAUUAAAUGUAAUUAUUAUGAAUUUUAUAAUGCUUAACAUGCCUACGUUAUGUAAAGUAAAAUUUUGACCUUUAUGUAGUAGAGAGCAUGCAUAUGAAACAUAGCAUUCUAGAUGAGAUUUGGAACUAUGGCCCCUAUCAUGAGAAUGGAUCUUGUUUUCUUGCAUUUAGCCUAUAUGCCAAUUGUGACAUUAGGGAUUUUAAAGGCCUAGAGAGGGCUUGAGAACUUGGACUAUUUGAGAAUUGGGCCAAUGUCAUAAAGAGGCAUUAGGCCCGGGCUAUAGUAAUCAUUGGUAUUAAUGUUUUAAAUGAAACAAGAACAAGAAUUGGGCUUGAUCAGUUGUGAUGCUUAAGUGUCAUAAAGAGGCACUAAGCAAGUGAGUGUUGGGACAUCACUUAGAGACAUUGGGCUAGAUCCUUGGGAUGCUAGUGACCUUACCAUGUUAGAGACAUAAGGAUUGGAUACUUGAGACUUAGACUAUGCCUGCUUGCCAUUUGUGCUCAUUCGCACAUGCUUGUGUGGGUCGCUCCCCACAAGCCGGCACUCCGGAGUUAGCCUACGCGACUUAUGUUCGCUCGUGCGGUAUUGAGAAGCCUACGGGGUCGAGUGGGACAGACACAUUCCAAGAGUAGGGAUGUUGGGCUACCACAGGCACUUAGGCGGCACAAGCUGGACUACCUUGGGUAGGUCCCUAAUUGGAAAUGGAAACCGACACAGUAUUGAGUGUGUGACAGUCACUACUAGACAAAGAGUAGUAGUUGGAUUACUUGGGUUUGCUUCUAGCAUAGUGUUGGACACAUGAGUAUGCAUAUAUACAGGUAGUAUGUUAGGAGUUGUCGCCAUUGCAUUCAUAUAUAUAAUGUCGCCAUGAUAAAGUAUAACCUUCAUAACUUCAUAAAGUAAAUCUUGAAAGUACUUGUGAAUAUGUAGAAACAUACUAGUCAUGACAAGGUAAAAGUGCAUCAUAUAAAUGCCAGAUUCAAUUGCAAAGUAGUAAUUUAGCAAUUUUAAUUAUGCUUUCACAUUUGCAAUUUAUUUAUUGUUAUUACUAUCUUGGACUUACCCCCCCUUUCCUUUUGGGGCCUAGUGGUGCGAUGAGCUGAGGUCAGUAAUUGCCCACUGGGAACUAUAAAUUAUAGUUCUCACGCCCUCUCUUUUAUGUUUUCUUUCAGAGCCUUCCAUAUCGGGAGAGGCUAGGGAUCGCGGGAAGGGAGUUGCGUCAAGCUAGCUUCCUUCGUGGACGAUUUGAUAGGUGGUCUACCUCUCGUUGUUUUAUUUUGUGAGAAGUUGAGAGUUGUACCCGUAUAUGUAUAAAGACCACCAUUCUUUUGGAUCUUUGUAUUCCUUUUGAGGAAAUAGCAUUGUAUCACUUUAUGCUUUACUUUCUUUAUCUAGUUAUGUUUCUUUUACUCUGGUUUAGAUGAUAGAACUUUACUCGCUCUGAUAUCAUUAGUUAUUAUUGUGCUAUUUGUUCUAUCUCUUGCUUUUACUUCCGCUUUUAUUGUAGACGCCUUAUAUGUGUAGACAUAUGGCGGGUCUGGGCACGCUACCGGGAGGGCCUCCGCCGGUCCCGGGGCAUGACAAAUACCAUGUCAACUAUAGAAAACAUACAAGGAGUGGAAAUGCAUGUAUCAUCAUCCUAUAAUGCAUAACAAUAUACAAGAUGCAAGUCAACAAUGCAACUAAGACAUAGAAAGAAGUUCAGUUGCUUCAGGAUGGCACCCUCCAUCUCUAUGUGAUGCCUCGAAGCUAGGAAUCCAGUUUCGCGAUUUUUGGAUGCCGCCUCGGCCUUCCAGGCAGAAACGAUGCCAAAAACGUCCUUUUCACAAAUAUCUUCGCGUAGGGUUGUCGGAUUGCCAAACCGACUUCGCCAACGUGUUAGAAUACCUAGCAAUUAGGUUUGUAUGGGCUCAAUUUAGAUCAAAACCCCACAUAAGCAAAUGCCCUCUUUUGGAUGCCCUAGAAUCUCAUUAUUGGAAAAUGCUACAUCUAGCUCAUUACUUAUGCAAUUAAUGAGUUCAACUACAUCUAGAGGUCCAUUAAAUUCCAUUCCUAGGGUUUAUAAACACAUCCCUAGCAAUUUACCAUGGGAGAGCUCAAAAAGCUUACCUCCAAAGCUUGCUCCAAUUGUGGGGAAGAAGAUGAAGAUCAACUUCCAAGCUUACUUCUCCACCAAUCUCUCCUCUUAAAUCCCACCUUGAAGAGAGAGAAAGAGAGUUUAGAGAGAGAGAGGUAUUUUGGGUUUAUCCAAAUGGGAGAGAUAAGAGGAAAUGGCCCCUAUACCCUCUCAUUUAACCCCACUCAAUCCAAAUUGCAAAAAGCCCCUCCAACUCUUCUGUUCUCACACUGCCCGAAUUGGGCAGUUUUCUGGUACGGGGAUCGGACUGUAGCACACUAGACCUUUGCAAAUUGCGAGGUUCGAGUGUUCGAUAUGUAUUCCGAACUUUUUCACACUUGGUGGAGGGCCGUCGAUUUAUACCGGCCUAAAAGUUCUAUCUCUAGAGUUUUGGCAAGUCCUAAGAGUUUUCACUCUUGGGGACCGGUCCCUGAUAUGAGAAACCGGUCCCCUCAGCACAGUGCUACGACAGGGCUUGAGGCAACCGGUCCCUGGCUGUGAGAGACCGGUUCCCGAACGCUGGUUUUGCGGGACGAGCCGAGAGACCGGUCCCUGGCAGGGAGAGACCGGUUCCUCAGCGCGUGAGCGGCCCAGACCGGGCAGUGCACAGAGUGGAUUUUUGAGGGGCCUAAGUGGAUUUUGUUACCUUAGAGGCUUUAGGCAGCCUCUCUACCCCCUCUCACUCUCAUUUUCUCUCCCUCUCACUCUCCCUACACUUCUAGAGAGAGAAAGGGAAGGAGAAGAAGGAGAAGGAGAGGAGAGGAGCUUGCUUGGAGGCCUUGGAGCACCAUCUUCUUCCUCAUUUCUCACCUUUGGAGGCUUGGAGCUUGCUUUUGGAGCUUUGUGGUGGAUCAAUCUUCAACCCUAGAAGAAGUGAAGAAACUCCCUCUCCCUCAUCUCUAGCUUGGAAAAGAAGAGCUUACAAUGUAAGCUUUGAACCCUAAUCAUGGUAGAACCUAAUCUAGGGUUUGGAUUAAGCUUAAAAUGGGUUUUAUGGAACCAUUUGAGUAUUUGAAGCUUUUCUUUUGCUUCUUUUGAGAUCAAGACCAUAGAAAUUGUGAAGCUUGAGGUGAGCUUCAUCACCUCUCAUGGUGAAGCCCUAAGUAGGGUUUUGAUUUGUCUAAAGAUGGUUCUAAUGGACUUUUUAGAGUAUAAUGAAGCUACUUUUGCUUCCCAUUGAGAUCAAACCCUAAGUUUGAUGAUGCUAUGGAGCUAGGGCACCCAAAUUGGAGCUUUUGCUCAUGGGGGUUCCUAAGUGAAAUUGACCCUCUAGAAACCUAAUUAGGGGUAUUUCCGACGCGUUAGUGCGCUCGGAUUAACAUUACGAAGAGCCAAUGAAAAGAUAUGAGCAAAAUGACCUAUUAGGGCUUCGUUUUGCCGCAGGUAAAGAACGAGAAGCCUAGAAAUCCCAAGAAAAUCGUCGGAGCACCUUUGAAAGCCUACGAGGUAGGUGGUGCUUUUCAAACUUGUUGAAUUUCUCUCUAUGCCUAAUGUGUCGUUCAUUUGAGCAUGUGUAUAUAUAUUGUUGUAUGCAUUUUAGGGUAAAGUAAUGAUGAAAAUAUGAUGAUGCAUGAUUAUGAGUACAACUUGCAUAAUAUGAUGAAUGAGAACUAUGUGAACGUCAAAAACCCUAUGUGUAUGCAUGAGAGAAAAGUGAGCACCCAAAGUGAGCAAAAGAACAGAGUGACACAAUGACAUAGAUCGAGUGGCAUUUGAUAAAGUUAAAGUGAAAUGACACUAGAGAUAAUGUGAGGUAAAGAACCAAUAUAAUAUAAAGAAUGAUGAAAAUGACAAUGUUUAAAGUUAAAGUAAUGUGGGGAGUAAAGAACAUGAAGUGCUAGAGGUAGCCAAAAGUAAAGAAUGUAAAGAAUAUGAUUGCUAGAGUUAGCAAGAGUAAUGAAUGGUAAAGAAUAAAGAUUGCUAGAGUAGCAACAUAAAGUGAUGUAAAGAACACUAGAGCUAGUGUAAAGUCAAGAUUGAACUUAUAAAUCCUUUGAGUUAAGGAUAUGAUCAUACUUGCUAUGAGUUCCGUGCUCGAGGGCGGUCGCUCCCCCUCGGGCGAUGCGCUCCGGUGUUAUGCAUCAUGAGUUGGAGUAAACCCGAAGGAAGGUCCUAGCGGGUGAGUUCCUGCGAUGAUAGACUUAAUGUGAAGCAAGUCAAUGUGGCGAUACCCCCGGGUUAGCCUUGAGAUUAAAGAACAAAGAGUAAAGAACAAAGUGCAAAGAACAAGGAACAAAGAACAAAGAGUAAAGUGAAAAGUACAAAGAAUUUGCAUAAUCUGCAUUUAUUUAAUGUUGAGCAUAUUUCUGCUUAUUAUUCAGGCAUAUUAGCAUCAUGUAUAGUUUGGUUACUGUUUAUAGCCUAUUCUUUCUAUUAUGCCUGAGUUAGUCCUAGUGGGAAAGUCGGUGAUGUUGAGGCCGAACCCACUGGGAACUUUAUUGUAGUUCUCACCCCACUAUUUCCACAGAGCCGGGUCAGAGUGAGUCGGCGAGCGACCGAGGUAAAGGUAUCGCGCCUUAGUCAGAGGCCACCAGAGUUGGGUUUACAUUUUGUAGUAGUUACCCCUUAUCUUCUUUUGUACUUGAUGGUUAGUGAUGUAAAGAAAAGAAUGUAAGGUGUAUUAUGAGAAAAUGUGAUGUAAGAAAGAAAUGAUGAAAUGAAAUGUAAAGAAUUCGAAAAUGUACAAGAUGAAUGUAAUGUAUAUGAUCUAAAUUGAAUCAUAGUACAAAAUGAAUGCUAGUUUCCUAUCUUUCACUCGUGGCUAUUGCUUACCCUUGUGUAAGCCGUUUGUGUAUGUUUCCGCUAGUGCUUUUCUCUAUUGAUGAAAAUGUACAUGUGAUGAGCCUUGGGCGGAUAAGGGAAACUCUAUCCGUUCGGCGUCUCUUUGACGUGCUCGAGUCGGGCCAAAUUGGUAUCGGUCCCGGGGCGUGACAUGCAGUGCCUCCUUCGGACCUGGUGGGUCGAGCUCUUCCCUUGCGUGGCCGUACCCACUGGAAACUAUAUUUAUAUAGUUCUCACCCCCGUGUGGUUUUGGGGGUUACAGGUUCGCACGCGAGCGGCGCGUCGACGCAAGGAGAGGGCGUAGCUCCGUAGAUAGCGCCUUACCACCGAGACCAGAGAUAGUGGUACCGGAGUCAGCCAAGCUAGGGGCUGUAGAAAAGAAAAAGAAUCAAACUUGUAAUAAUCUGGUGAUAAUUGAUUGUAUUCAGAAGUUGAAUGUAAUUUUUAAGAAAGGAAAUGUAUAAGUUUCAAAUGAGAUGAAUGCUUGUAAUAACAUAAGAUGUGUUAUGUUUUUGAUACUUCCUUUUGCGAUCUAUGAUCGAAUACUGUUCCUGGUUGGAACCACUUGUAUUGUUUUGAUUGCGACGCCUAAGACGUACAGGGUGUUAGGAUUCGUCCACAUUGGGACUUAUUUAAAAUAUUUCUAAUCCAUAUAGGAUAAGAAAUAAAUAUUUACAAUUAUCCGUUAUAUUCCUAAUCCACUUGGGAUAAAGAAUAAAUCUAACAGAUAAAUCCUAAUCUGUUUAAAUCUCUAUCUAUGUGAGAUUUAGUUAGAAUAUGAUUAGAAUUAAUAUCUUCCUUAUGGCCUAUAAAUACAUGAGGUAUUGACCACAUACUAGAUAACGAGAAAAAAAUAAGAAUCAUCUCUCCACCAAAAUUCUCUCUCUUGGGUUCGCUCUAGGGCACCAUCAUAAACCCUAGGGAUUUGGGCGGUGUGCAGCGAUCGACUCUAGUAGCCGGAUUGCAACGAGUAAGAACAACGUACAACAAAUUGAGACAGGACGUUGGCGGAUCAACGAGUUCGUAAAACAAGACGAGAUCAGAUCCUGGUAAUCACAACAUUAAUUCCGCACCAUAAAGAGGUAUGUAAAAAUCUAUGUGAUUUUUGCGACAAUUGUUUUUUGGGUAUUUAAUUAAUUUUAUCCAACAGUGGUAUCAGAGCCAUAUAGUGCUUGUUUUCGCUCGAUGAUUCUUUUUUUUUAACAUCGAAUAUAUUUUUAAAUAUUCUAUAAUAAUAAUAAUGGGUGAAGUUUUUGAGCCGUUAUUGGCAGGCUCAACUCGGUUUUAUUGGUGUAUGAUAGUCCUACAAAAGAUCCGGCCCACUCGUUCACUGGGCGGCAUGUUAGGCCAGCCCUCUGACUUAUUGGGAAACCAAUACAGGGCCCGCUAUCGGGCCAAUAUGCGGGUCAAGCUCGCACACUGGACCCGUGGAGGCCAGCCCGUGUGGGGGCUUGCUCGCGACCUGUAACACACUGGACCUUUGCAAAUUGCGAGGUUCGAGUGUUUGGAUGUGUUUCGAGCUUUGCAAAUUGGGUUAUAGUAGUCAUUAGUAUUAAUGUUUAAAUGAAACAUAGAACAAGAGUCGAGCUUGAUCAGUGUGAUGCUUAAGUGUCAUAAAGAGGCACUAAGCAAGUGAGUGUUGGGACAUCACUUAGAGACAUUGGGCUAGAUCCUUGGGAUGCUAGCGACCUUGCCAUGUUAGAGACAUGCGGAUAGAGUAUUUGAGACAGUGACCUUGCUUGUUUGUCAUUUGUGCUCAUUCGCACAUACUUGUGAGGGUCGCUCCCUACAAGCCGGCACUCCGGAGUUAGCCUACGCGACUUAUGUUCGCUCGUGCGGUAUUGAGAAGCCUAGGGGUCGAGUGGGACAGACACAUCCCAAGAGUAGGGAUGUUGGGCUACCACAGGCACUUAGGCGGCACAAGCUGGACUACCUUUGGUAGGUCCUUAAUUGGAAAUGGAAAUCGACACGGUGUUGAGUUUAUUAUGAACACUACUAGUCUGAGAGUAGUAGUAGGAUCACUUGGACUUCCUUCUAGCAUAGUUGUGGACAUUUGGGUAUUCAUACAUACAUGUAGUAUGCUAGGAGAUGUUGUUUAUUGCAUCCUUAUAUGCAUUGUAGUCAUGACCAAGUAUUACUUUCAUAUCUGUAUAAAGUAAAGCAUGAUAUUACUUGUGAACAUAUAUAUCCAUGACAAGAUAAAGUCGCAUUAGGAAUGCCAUGUUUAAUUGCAAGUUGUAGCUUAGCAUCCUAAUUAUUAUGCUUUCUAAUAUGCAAUUUACUCGUUACUCUUAUUGUUAGACUUACCCUUUUCUUUGGGGCCUAGUGGUGCACUGAGCUGAGGUCAGUAAUUGCCCACUGGGAACUAUAAAUUAUAGUUCUCACGCCCUCUUUUUCUCGAUGUUUUUCAGAGCCUUCCACGCAGGGUGAGGCCAGGGAUCGCGGGAAGGGAGUUGCUUCGAGCUAGCUUCCUUCGAGGACGAGUUGCUAGGUGGUCUACCUCUCGAUAUUUAUUUUUUUUUUGCGAGAGGUUGAGGGUUUUACCAGUGUACUAGAGACCACCAUUUUUGUACUUUUGAGACAGAUAGUGUUCUACUUAUGGUUAUCUUUGUUUGACUAGCUUUAUUUCCUUUACUUUGGUAUAGAUGAUAGAACUUUUCUUGCUCUGAUGUCAGUAGUUGCUAGUUAUUUCGCUACUUUUAUUUGUUCUACCUCCUGCUUUUACUUCCGCUUUUAGUGUAGACGCCUUAUAUGUGUAGACAUAUGGCGGGUCUGGGCACGCUACCGGGAGGGCCUCCGCCGGUCCCGGGGCGUGACAGAUUAAUUUGGUAUCAGAGCCUAGGGUUGAGUCUUAGUGGACCUAGCGAACCUUAGGCCGGUUGGACUAUAGGAAUUAGGCUCGUGAGAGACGAGAUCUAAUUGACUUGUGAGCGAAAGUAUUUCGAUUGGGUUCAUGACAACUCUAAAAAGUUAGAGUUUAAUUGGAGUGUAUGGCUCCUAACUUCGCGGAGGGUUACGUUGGCGGCCGACAACGUAACAUCGGGAGUUAGUAGUGAAGGACACUUCCUUACUUUCGCGUGAUUUUGGUUUUGUUAUUUGAGUGGGGACUCGAUAGUGCGGGUUGCUAACUUGCACUUUUAUGUUCUGUAGUGACGAUGCCAAUUACACGCUCCCAAUCUGCCGGGGCGGAUGAUGCGGCACACUCCGAGGAGGUCGAGACCUCCGCUACUUCCGGAUCUAGUGAGGUCCGUGACUUGAGGGCCCAGCUUGCGGUUCUCACUGAUUUGUUGGCGCAGCAGACGGCAGCGGCGCAGCGACAGGCUGAGGUGGCUCAGCGGCAGGAGGCGCGGAUGAAGCAUCUUGAGGACCUCCUACUGCAGCAAGCGGCAGCUUCGAGGGAGACCCAGGGCCCCACACCGCCAGCACCCAUGGUGGACGUCGCACUGAGGGCGCAAUCCCCUGCGCCCAGUUCUUCACGUGCGGCACCGACGACCGCACCUCGGGAGGAGGUGGUUGCGGCACUACCUAUCCAGAGACCGGCGACAGGGGCAGCAUUCCCCGUGAUGGCCGAGGGAGCCGAGCGGGAUCGACUUAUGGAGCGCCUCAGUGAGUUCAGGAGGUGCAGCCCGAGGACGUUUGAUGGCGAGAACGUCGACCACUGGAUUGUCGAGAAGUGGUUGAUGCAUAUGGAAAAGCUGUUUCGAGACACUUUUGUAGAGGAGCGGGAUAGAGUUUGGCUCGCCACUCACUUUCUGGACGGCGAGGCCUACCGUUGGUGGUUGGAUAUCCAGGACAACCCCAACACCGACUUGGCAGCGAUUACUUGGACUAGGUUCAAGGAGCUUCUACUGGCGCACCACUUUCCUACCAGCGUCAAGAGGAAGAUGGAGCAGGAUUUGCGCAGCUUNNNNNNNNNNNNNNNNNNNNNNNNNNNNNNNNNNNNNNNNNNNNNNNNNNNNNNNNNNNNNNNNNNNNNNNNNNNNNNNNNNNNNNNNNNNNNNNNNNNNNNNNNNNNNNNNNNNNNNNNNNNNNNNNNNNNNNNNNNNNNNNNNNNNNNNNNNNNNNNNNNNNNNNNNNNNNNNNNNNNNNNNNNNNNNNNNNNNNNNNNNNNNNNNNNNNNNNNNNNNNNNNNNNNNNNNNNNNNNNNNNNNNNNNNNNNNNNNNNNNNNNNNNNNNNNNNNNNNNNNNNNNNNNNNNNNNNNGAGAGGAAUUAUAGAGUAGACUUCGGCCACGUCCUCAUCCACCCUACCACCCCCCUCGAUGCGACUGCUCCGGCUCCCUGGGUGUCCUCGGCGGCCUCCGUGAAGUGCGCUCUGAGUUGCCCUCAGCCGCGGGCACUCUUGCCCUUGCCCUUAAUCUAGGCCUCCGCGACGCUCCUGCAGAUCCGCCGCUCCUGCCUCCACUAUCAAAGCUCGAUCCCAAACUCCCCGGUAGUCUUGGUACGGUUGGAAGACUCCAAACCGCGAAGAUAUGAAGGCCGCAAACCUGCGCUCAAAGAUGCGGGCCUUGUCCUCGUCGGGCCUCACAACAAACGGUACACAGUGUAGUAUACCGGGAGAAACUACCCUCCUCCGUAUCAGCCACUGACGCGAUCAUCCUGGCGCCUUAACUCUCUUAACCUCUUGGGUCUAGCCACCACCCAAAAUGCUUAAGCCGGGUUAAGAGUUUAGCCCUAUUAUAUCUUAUAUAUAGGACUAUCUGGGGUUUCACAACAGGCCCCGAGCGGGCGCAUGUACGCGGCCCAGACUGAGGAAGCGGCGGCAGCCGAGAAUGUGGUCGCAGGUAUCAUUUUACUUCAUGGUAUUCGAGUUAGAGCUUUGUUUGAUACCGGUGCAUCACAUUCAUUCAUUGAUCGGCUGUUUGCUGAGCUGCAUGGCAUCCCACUUGUAUCUUUGUUACAUCCGGGCCGAGUUGUUGUAUCCGAUCACUCUUCAGACAUUCGGGAGUUUUGCCCCAGUUGCCCUGUUAGGAUUGGAGAUUGGAUCAUGCCCGUGGACUUGCUAGCUUUGCACAAACUCGGGGAGUUUGAUGUUGUAUUGGGCAUGGAUUGGCUGACCAAAUACUUUGCCACCAUCGAUUGUAAGAAUCGAAUGGUGACGUUUAGAGAGCCAGGGUAGGCGGAGGUUGUGUACCGAGGAUGCCAGAGUUCGCUGUUUGCGAUGACGAUUAGCUCUUCUCGAGCUCGACAGUUGAUUAGUAGAGGCUGCGUUGCCUACUUGGCUACUGUUGUGUUGCGGGAUGUGGACGACACCCCUAGGCUUGAGGAUAUCCCCGUAGUGCGGGAGUUUGGAGAUGUGUUUCCUGCGGAGCUUCCAGGCACCCUAUAGGAUGGCACCAGCAGAAUUGAAGGAGCUGAAGGCACAGUUGCAGGAUCUUCUGGACAAGGGUUUCGUGAGACCGAGUGUGUCACCUUGGGGAGCACCGGUUCUGUUUGUGAAGAAGAAGGAUUGAUCACUUCGCUUAUGCGUGGACUAUCGUGAACUUAAUAAAGUCACGAUUAAGAACAAGUAUCCAUUACCGAGGAUUGAUGAUCUAUUUGAUCAGCUCCAGGGAUCUUGUGUAUAUUCCAAGAUUGACUUGCAGUCGGGAUAUCACCAGUUGAGGAUCAGACCUGAGGAUGUGUCGAAGACGGCUUUUAGAACACGGUAUGGACAUUAUGAGUUUACUGUUAUGCCGUUUGGGCUUACUAAUGCCCCGGCAGCUUUUAUGGAUCUGAUGAACCGUGUUUUUAAGCCUUAUUUAGACAGAUUCGUUGUGGUGUUUAUCGACGACAUCUUAGUGUAUUCCCGGAGUGACGCGGAUCACGAGGAGCACUUGAGACUUGUACUUCAAGUGCUUCGGGAAAAGAAGCUCUAUGCCAAGUUGAAGAAGUGUGAAUUUUGGCUUAGAGAGGUGGCGUUUUUGGGCCAUGUGAUUUCAGGAUCAGGCAUAGCCGUGGACCCGAGGAAAAUUGAAGCUAUCAAGGAUUGGCCGAGGCCGACGAGCGUGACCGAGAUACGGAGCUUCAUUGGUUUAGCAGGCUACUACCGACGGUUUGUCGAGGGAUUUGCGAAGUUAUCUACUCCCCUCACGAGACUCACGCAUUAGGGCACCAAGUUCAUUUGGACUGAUGCGUGCGAAAGGAGCUUCCAAGAGUUGAAGCAGCGAUUGACGACUGCCCCGAUCCUUACCUUGCCGACUGCUGGAGCAGGGUAUGUGAUUUACAGUGAUGCUUCCUUUAAUGGAUUGGGCUGUGUUUUGAUGCAGGACGGGAAAGUGAUCGCGUAUGCAUCUUGCCAAUUGAAGGAUUAUGAAAGGAAUUACCCCACUCACGACUUGGAGUUGGCGGCCGUAGUCUUUGCAUUGAAGCUAUGGCGCCAUUACCUCUAUGGCGAGCGAUGUGAGGUAUAUACGGAUCACAAGAGCUUAAAGUAUCUAUUGACUCAGAAGGAGUUGAACCUGAGGCAGCGCAGAUGGUUGGAGCUACUCAAGGAUUAUGAUUUGACGAUACUUUACCACCCGGGCAAGGCUAACGUGGUGGCAGAUGCGCUAAGUAGGAAAUCGACUGAGAACUUAGCGAUGCUUAUGGUUACCCAACCGCCGUUGAUCGAGCAGAUGAAGCGGUUGGAGUUGGAGGUGGUGGCUCCUGAUACACCUUUGAGACUGAUGACUUUGGUGGUGCAACCUACACUUUUGGAAAGGAUUAAAGAAAAGCAAGCUUCCGACUCGGAGUUGCAAAAGAUUCGAGCUAAAAUGGUUAAUGGUUGCACCGGUGACUACACUUUAGACGGUGAUGGAUUGAUGCGUUUCCGCGGACGACUUUGUGUACCGGCGGACUUGGGCAUUAAAGAGUAUAUACUUCAAGAAGCACACCGAGCACCG
rnacentral:lncRNA from 1 species